rnacentral:rRNA from 1 species
GUAGGUGGCAAGCGUUGUCCGGAAUUAUUGGGCGUAAAGCGCGCGCAGGCGGUUCUUUAAGUCUGAUGUGAAAGCCCACGGCUCAACCGUGGAGGGUCAUUGGAAACUGGAGAACUUGAGUACAGAAGAGGAAAGCGGAAUUCCACGUGUAGCGGUGAAAUGCGUAGAGAUGUGGAGGAACACCAGUGGCGAAGGCGGCUUUCUGGUCUGUAACUGACGCUGAGGCGCGAAAGCGUGGGGAGCAAACAGGGAUUAGAUACCCUGGUAGUCCACGCCGUAAACGAUGAGUGCUAAGUGUUAGGGGGGCUUCCGCCCCCCUUAGUGCUGCAGCUAACGCAUUAAGCACUCCGCCUGGGAGUACGGCCGCAAGGCUG